rnacentral:rRNA from 1 species
UACGUAGGGUGCGAGCGUUAAUCGGAAUUACUGGGCGUAAAGCGUGCGCAGGCGGUUUUGUAAGCCAGAUGUGAAAUCCCCGGGCUUAACCUGGGAAUGGCAUUUGGGACUGCAAGGCUCGAGUGCGGCAGAGGAGACUGGAAUUCCUGGUGUAGCAGUGAAAUGCGUAGAUAUCAGGAGGAACACCGAUGGCGAAGGCAGGUCUCUGGGCUGACACGUGACGCUCAUGCACGAAAGCGUGGGGAGCAACAGG